rnacentral:tRNA from 1 species
UAAAUAAUGGCGUAGUGGUUUGUGUGUUGGACUGUGACUCUGGAGACCAGGGUUUGAUUCCCUGCUCAAUCAG